CCGUAGCCCAAGAGAUCGGGAUAACACCUGGAAACAGAUGCUAAUACCGGAUAACAACAGAUGAUGCCUAUCAACUGUUUAAAAGAUGGUUCUGCUAUCACUCUUGGAUGGACCUGCGGUGCAUUAGCUAGUUGGUAGGGUAACGGCCUACCAAGGCGAUGAUGCAUAGCCGAGUUGAGAGACUGAUCGGCCACAUUGGGACUGAGACACGGCCCAAACUCCUACGGAGGCAGCAGCU
rnacentral:rRNA from 1 species